AAAUGACUCUCGGCAACGGAUAUCCUGGCUCUCGCAUCGAUGUAGAACGCAGCGAAAUGCGAUACUUGGUGUGAAUUGCAGAAUCCCGUGAACCAUCGAGUCUUUGAACGCAAGUUGCGCUCGAAGCCAUUAGGCUGAGGGCACGUCUGCCUGGGUGUCACGC
rnacentral:rRNA from 1 species